UGCAACAGCUGUUUUAGCACGUUUUUCGUUUGUUUAUAAAAAAAAGUGGAAUAAGAUGAAGCCGAAAACACAAAAGUCGCAGGGAAAACCCAAUAAAAAGCCAACACACAGCAAGGCCAAGGCCACGCAAUGGCAGAAGCCAAACUUUAAGCAGAAGCACAAGGCGAAGCCGAAAACAGAUAAACCAAACAAGCCCGAGAUCCGCCAAAUGAUCCGUCAGCAGAAGGCGGCCAAAGCCGAGGCUGAGCGCCAACAGGUGCGGGCUGAAAAGGAGGCCCGCAUUAAGGCCUACAAGAAGCAGCGCCUCGAAAAGACCAAGGCCAUCAGCAAGCGCACCCAGCGCGGCCAGCCGCUGAUGAAGGAUCGCAUGCAGCUGCUGCUCAAGCAGAUCGAGGAGAUGAAGCAACGCUGACACCUCACCUCAUUACGCGCCUGACUGGGUUCAGGUUCAGGGUGGCUUCUGUUGUUGGCGUGCCUGGUCCUCUACUCUGGCGAUGCCUUCGCGGCCCCCAAGCCGAAAGGCAGAGCCAAACCGAAAAUAAGGAUUCCCAAAAUUAACAUUAACAUCCAUCAUAAUAAUAUCCACAUUGGCUAGGAUCGCACUCACUGGCUUUGGAUAAUAGUCGUAGCUUAACUUAAUUUAGCCUUAACUUCUUUGCGAUCCAAGAGACCCUCAGUACACAUAAUCGUACUGUUAAGGAUGAUUAUGGCCAUUAUAUGGUUAUAUGGCAGAUCCAUAUAGUUUUCUAUGAACUCUUUCAGAGUUUCAGAAGAACCAUCGGAAGCCGGUUAGGGUAACCAUUACAAAUAAAGCUAAAUUGUAAGAUAUUGUA